GGCGGAGCUGCUGAGCGCGAUAGUAGCAGCUCCGGCGGCAGCAACAUUGACUACGAGGAAUGGCGGCGGCUGCCGCAGGACCUGCAGCAUCCCAGAGGUGCAGAUUUUAAUUUCAGUGACUGAAUUAAAAGGUGUCAAGAAGCUCAGAAUGGAAGUCGUGCAGUUUCUAGACAAGAAGCAUCCAAACCACUAUCAAGUCUACAAUCUAUGCAGUAUGUACAUUACUCUGUAUUUUGCUACUGUAGAUAGAAAACAGAUUACUGCAUGUAAGAAGGUGAUUUUGUUUUUUAUAUUGCAUUUAAUCAUAAGUGUGUAGUGGUGGUGAGGAAUGAAUUUAAAACCCCAUCUUGGACUGGCCCCAUUUGGUAGAAGGAGUUAACCCAGCAGCACAAAGUACCCUAUGAAGGAGGCAGCUCUGGCAGGACCAAUGAUGCUAGAGUGGAGGCAAACCAUUUUAGGGAAGAUCUGUUCUAGUGAUAUUAGGUUUAGGAAAAUCUUUCUGUUUUUCCUGCCAGAUUGGGUUAUGAGGACAUAGAUAAUUUAACAAAUGAGUCCUCUGAUCCAUCAGCAGUGGGUUGUGAUGAGAGCAGGGCCCUAGAUGGGAAAAAAAGCAAAAAACUCUGUAGAAAAUAGGUUGUAACCCAGCUUACCACUGUCUGUCUUGAUUUUUUUCCUCUACCUGUAUACUCAAUAGACAUUUUCAGGGGGGCAAUCAUUUUGGUCAGCUACAUUUGCCUCUUGUGUGGGUUCUAACUACCCUGCAAUAAUAUAAUGAAUAGUCUGCUAGAAAG
rnacentral:lncRNA from 1 species